UUCAAGUUACAAUCCACAUCACUGGCUGCACCCGAAGAGCUGCAGAACAGAGGUUCAGUUAUUCUUGGAAGAACAGGUCCAUCAAUAACCAGUUCAGGCUCAGAUGGAAUAGCCUCUCUCUCAAACAGAGUUACUGGUAAGCUGGUCACUGGUGUAGAAUCAGAGUCUGCCUUCAUGAUGCUGGUGACACCAGAAGGAUUACAUAGCUGGGCUUCAAUCAACCUUUGAGGAGAUCCUUCAGUGGCAAGCUUGUAUGCAGAUGGAAUACCUUCUCUCUCAAACAGGGUUGCCCGAAGGCCACCCAUUGGUGCGGACCGUGAGCCUGUCUCUGUAAUGUUAACAGCAUGACAUACAGGCCUCCCAUUUAGGUGGGGUGCAUCAUUCAUAGCAAGCUCUGGUACUGCAGCUUUAUUAGGAGAAGCUGGUUUUUCAAUCUGAAUUUUUAUUCCAAUUGAUUCAGCAGACAUGAUUCCAGGUCCAGUGGUAACAGGACCUUGGUUGUGCUCAAGGUUUGGGCUUCUAACAUCAUCACGACUCGAUUGAUUUGACUUAAACUCAUCACUUACAGCCUGAUGUUGAAUUUGAAGCUCAAGAUUAACAGUUCCACUGCCAGGAAAAUUAUCAACAGAAGAUGCCGACUGUGGUAAUGAUUUUGAUUCCUUAGUUGCCCCCACAUUUCCACAAGGAACUUUUGUUAUGGAACCUUCUAAUUCUUUCAGUACCUCAUAUUGUUCAGCAACUUUAUCAUGCCCCAUCUCUUGCAUAAAACAGGUAGAUUGGCUUCCAAGUCCUGAUUCCAGAAUUUGUUGUGGUGCAACUCUGUCUCCCAAGGAAGAUCCUGUGUUACUCAUUGGCAGUUUAUCAGUCAAAGUAAGGAUAUCAGAGACAGGCUGGUUUUGCUGUGGAAUUGGAACACUGGAACUGGAUUGAAGUUCAGAUGGUAGCCUUUGAACUUGUACUAGUGGUGCAAGGUUCUGAACAUUGACAGGUUGCUUAUCACUUUGCUCUGAUGAAGGAACAGGGCCAGGGACCAGAGUUUGAGGAUUUGCAACUGAUAUGGGUAUCUCUGUCUUAUUAUACAUUUCUGCUUGUGGAGCCACAUCAUUUGAGGCUGUGAUGGGAGUGAAACUGCCUGGUAAAAACACAACACCCCUCAGAUGAGUUUCAGUAUCACCUACCUUUACUUUAAGAAGAUACCCAGCAUCAAAUGAGCCCUCAAUGACACCAGAAACCACUUGACCCACCAUUUUGUCAUCAACAGCGCCGGUUGUAUGUGCAAACAGUUUUGUUUUCUUCAUACUAUCAGCUGCAGUCAUCGCAGGAAUGUUCUCCCCUUGUGCCAGGCUCUCAUCCUUGCGAGGACGGCCCCGUUUGCGCUUCAAAGGGGGGUCUGCUAGAGAAGAGCCAGUCCCUUGGCUCUGUGGGUGCAUCUUGAAAGUUGAUGGAAGAUGGCUGAUUUUAUACAAAACACAAUUUUCUGCCACUGCAACAUGCCCUUCGAGAGGAUUUCCUGCUUGAUGCCAUUACCACUUUGGAGGAAGAGGAAAGCAAGAGUCUAAAUAGAUAUGAAAGCAUUGGUUCUUGGGAAUCAUAGUUACAUUUGGCAAUGGGCAUACAAUUAUGAUAUUGCCCAUCUAACAUCCAUAAUUAACAAAUGUACCAUAAAAUAUCUGCGAGAUUUGGCUUGGGCUAAGCCGCAUUCUGUGCACAAUUAGCAUAGAUGUUAUCGUAGACUACACAUUUUUCCAAGAUUAGCCCAUCAGGAGCCACGUUGCCUAUAUUUGUCAAAUUGACAAUGCUGAUGUAACCAUUCGAGAAUGCUAUAGUAAUAUUAAAAAUGCAUACAAAUAUUUGAAUAACAAGUAUGGAAGAGUAUGUGUAUGUGCAUGUGCAUGAGCAUGAGCAUGCGU
rnacentral:misc_RNA from 1 species